GAUGAAGAACGUAGCGAAAUGCGAUAAGUAAUGUGAAUUGCAGAAUUCAGUGAAUCAUCGAAUCUUUGAACGCACAUUGCGCCCGGUAGUAUUCUGCCGGGCAUGCCUGUUCGAGCGUCAUUUCAACCAUCAAGCCCCAGCGCUUGUGUUGGGGGCCUGCGGCUGCCGCAGCCCCCCAAAAGCAGUGGCGGGCUCGCUAUCACACCGAGUGCAGUAGUUCAUCUUCUCUCCGGUCUUGUGAGGUGGGUUCCGGCCGUGAAACACCCCACUACAUUCAAGGUUGACCUCGGAUCAGGUAGGAAUACCCGCUGAACUUAAGCAUAUCAAUAAGCGGAGGA
rnacentral:misc_RNA from 1 species